UUUUUGGAGAGUUUGAUCCUGGCUCAGGACGAACGCUGGCGGCGUGCUUAACACAUGCAAGUCGUACGAUGAUGCCG
rnacentral:rRNA from 1 species